rnacentral:lncRNA from 1 species
CCAGCAGCAUUACAUAAACAGCAAAUUUCAGUAAGCAUGUAUGCUUCUUUAUUAAAUUAUGACCCCCAAAAAUUUACAGACACUUGGUCACAAGAAAUACAGUUCAUUAUACUGUCGAAAUGCAGUAAUUACAAGCCCACAAGACAUCCUAGACCACACAUCAUUUGUUUCUCUUCCUCGGCACCAACUUCUCUAUUCUUUGCCUACUUUGUGUUUGUAAUUGUUUUCCAGUAAUAGCAGCUUUCCCAUUCCAUGUAAGGCUGCCUGGUGAGUAAGGAAGAUCAGAUGGAACACUUAAACCAUUGUGAUCACCUUUGAAUGCAAUUACCCUUGAUUCUGAAGGUUGUGAUGNNN